rnacentral:rRNA from 1 species
UACGGGGGGUGCAAGCGUUAUCCGGAUUUACUGGGUGUAAAGGGAGCGUAGACGGCGAUGCAAGUCUGAAGUGAAAGGCGGGGGCCCAACCCCCGGACUGCUUUGGAAACUGUAUGGCUAGAUUGCAGGAGAGGCAAGUGGAAUUCCUAGUGUAGCGGUGAAAUGCGUAGAUAUUAGGAGGAACACCAGUGGCGAAGGCGGCCUGCUGGGCUUUUACUGACGCUGAGGCUCGAAAGCGUGGGGAGCAAACAGG